GAACUGUCAGUGCAGUAGGUUUGGCAGUGAAAGGCGGAGGAGUAGCGAGAGGGUUUGACUGUUGGUGCUUUUGGUCACUUUUCUGCUGCAAUGAAAACAGCAGUCGCGGGAGGAGGAGGCAGUGCUGGUGGAGGCGAUAUGGAAGAAGCAUUUAUGGAUAUUUAGGAGAAAGUCAUUUGGAGUCACCAAAACCUGAAAGCAUACUUGAAUAUGGUAAGAACGGUUAGUCUACCAGAACGGGCUCAUCAUGGUAAAACAUUCUGCCAGUACCUUCUUCAGCCAACCACUUUCAUAUUCCAAAUAUCAAUGAGCUUCGUCCUGUCAGGUGUAUCACGAUAGGAGUUUGUCUUCAUGAAGAUUCCUGACAUUGGUAAUGUGAUGAAUAAAUUUGAGGUCCUUGGAGUCGUAGGAGAAGGAGCCUAUGGGGUGGUACUAAAAUGCAGGCACAAGGAAACAAAUGAAAUUGUGGCUAUCAAAAAGUUUAAAGACAGUGAAG